CGAGGAGCAGGGCUGGUGCGCUGCAGCUGGGGCUGUCAGUGGGGUGUGAGUGGCUGCAGCUGGGGGCCUCCCACUGCCUCCAGGCCAUUGCAGGGCUACCUGCAGGUGGGAGGCUUAUUUCUCAGGGUAAAGUGUGGCAGAGGUGCUGAGACCGAGAAACGUGGCAGGCACGAAAAGUUAAACAAGAGAGAAUGCUCUGACACACUGACUUCAUUAAAAUGUGUGGUUUGUUGAAGCAAAAACAUCUUAAGGAGACCUACUGAUUAGGAAAGGCUCAUUUGUAUGAAGAGGAACUAGCAGAAGCAAAUCCAAGAUGACUUAGAGAGACUUUCUGUAUAUGGGCAGACAAACUUAACCACAGGUUAAUGGGUGCAAAGAGGUAAGUUUGUUAUCUAUCAAAGGUAUUGUCAUCAGCUUU
rnacentral:lncRNA from 1 species